rnacentral:rRNA from 1 species
CCUACGGGAGGCAGCAGUAGGGAAUUUUCCGCAAUGGGCGAAAGCCUGACGGAGCAAUACCGCGUGAGGGAUGACGGCCUGUGGGUUGUAAACCUCUUUUCUCAAGGAAGAAGUUCUGACGGUACUUGAGGAAUAAGCAUCGGCUAACUCUGUGCCAGCAGCCGCGGUAAUACAGAGGAUGCAAGCGUUAUCCGGAAUCACUGGGCAUAAAGCGUCUGUAGGUUGUUUAGUAAGUCUGCUGUUAAAGACUGGGGCUUAACCCCAGAAAAGCAGUGGAAACUGCUAGACUCGAGUGUGGUAGAGGUAGAGGGAAUUCCUAGUGUAGCGGUGAAAUGCGUAGAUAUUAGGAAGAACACCAAUGGCGAAGGCACUCUACUGGGCCAUAACUGACACUGAGAGACGACAGCUAGGGGAGCAAACGGGAUUAGAUACCCCGGUAGUCCUAGCCGUAAACGAUGGAUACUAGAUGUUGCACGUAUUAACCCGUGCAGUAUCGUAGCUAAGGCGUUAAGUAUCCCGCCUGGGAAGUACGCUCGCAGAGAGAACGUACAAAGAAAGUUAGACGGCGUGAGACGUGCCGAACGGACGACGACGAGGGAGGUAGG